GUCUAAAUUAAUAUUAAAGUAUUCAUAGAGUAAUAUGUUAACAUAUUUUCUCAUUUUCUUUCCACUAAUCUGUGAGAUAGAUAUGGAACAGGAAUUAAAACAAAAUUUCCAUUUUACAAAGGAAGAAAGUGAAGUUCUGAGAAGAUAAAAGACUUGCCCACCACCACCCAGCAAGUAAGCAAGACCAAGAUCAAAACCCAGUUCUUCCAUACUUUCUAUUCUCAAGCUUUUAGAUCUAAAGUUGUCUGUCACACUUGAGCCAUCUGAAGCAUGAAGGCAAGAACAAAGAAAUGGAGAUUAUAAGUGUUUGAAGCAGUAAAAAGUCACCAGAGAAUGCUUCAGAAGGAAAAAAAAAAUGACAUAAUCAAUUUAAAAGGUGACAUAUUGAAACAUAAAGGAGAAGUAUCCCUUUUAGUUUUUAUAACAGACUCUGAUAUUCUCCAGGAAAUUGCAGACAUCAGGACACACAGAGCUUUCUACUUUACAGAGGAAAGGUUGGGAGGAAAAAAGAAUAUAAAUAUAAAAGUUUCAAAUCAAGACUAAGUCCCUAUAUAGUCCCUUGGUUUGCAUCACCAUCAAUCAAUACUAAGCAAUUGCAAUUAGAAGAGUGCUAAACCUUAGAGUUGCUGAACAGAUGGAAAAUAGAAAAGAAAUGAAGCCAUCUUCCACAAUCAGACGAAUAAAAC
rnacentral:lncRNA from 1 species